rnacentral:rRNA from 1 species
UGGGGAAUCUUGCGCAAUGGGCGAAAGCCUGACGCAGCCAUGCCGCGUGUAUGAUGAAGGUCUUAGGAUUGUAAAAUACUUUCACCGGUGAAGAUAAUGACUGUAGCCGGAGAAGAAGCCCCGGCUAACUUCGUGCCAGCAGCCGCGGUAAUACGAAGGGGGCUAGCGUUGCUCGGAAUUACUGGGCGUAAAGGGAGCGUAGGCGGACAUUUAAGUCAGAGGUGAAAUCCCGGAGCUUAACUUCGGAACUGCCUUUGAUACUGGGUGUCUUGAGUGUGAGAGAGGUAUGUGGAACUCCGAGUGUAGAGGUGAAAUUCGUAGAUAUUCGGAAGAACACCAGUGGCGAAGGCGACAUACUGGCUCAUUACUGACGCUGAGGCUCGAAAGCGUGGGGAGCAAACAGGAUUAGAUACCCACGUAGUCCCUGAGCGGGCUGGCAAGGCGCAU